UACGUAGGGCGCAAGCGUUAUCCGGAAUUAUUGGGCGUAAAGAGCUCGUAGGCGGUUUGUCGCGUCUGCCGUGAAAGUCCGGGGCUCAACUCCGGAUCUGCGGUGGGUACGGGCAGACUAGAGUGAUGUAGGGGAGACUGGAAUUCCUGGUGUAGCGGUGAAAUGCGUAGAUAUCGGGAGGAACACCAGUGGCGAAGGCGACUACCUGGCCUGUUUCUUGACGCUGAGGCGCGAAAGCUAGGGGAGCAAACGGG
rnacentral:rRNA from 1 species